rnacentral:rRNA from 2 species
UUAAAUUGAAGAGUUUGAUCAUGGCUCAGAUUGAACGCUGGCGGCAGGCCUAACACAUGCAAGUCGAACGGUAACAGGAAGCAGCUUGCUGCUUCGCUGACGAGUGGCGGACGGGUGAGUAAUGUCUGGGAAACUGCCUGAUGGAGGGGGAUAACUACUGGAAACGGUGGCUAAUACCGCAUAACGUCGCAAGACCAAAGAGGGGGACCUUCGGGCCUCUUGCCAUCAGAUGUGCCCAGAUGGGAUUAGCUUGUUGGUGAGGUAACGGCUCACCAAGGCGACGAUCCCUAGCUGGUCUGAGAGGAUGACCAGCCACACUGGAACUGAGACACGGUCCAGACUCCUACGGGAGGCAGCAGUGGGGAAUAUUGCACAAUGGGCGCAAGCCUGAUGCAGCCAUGCCGCGUGUAUGAAGAAGGCCUUCGGGUUGUAAAGUACUUUCAGCGGGGAGGAAGGUGUUGUGGUUAAUAACCACAGCAAUUGACGUUACCCGCAGAAGAAGCACCGGCUAACUCCGUGCCAGCAGCCGCGGUAAUACGGAGGGUGCAAGCGUUAAUCGGAAUUACUGGGCGUAAAGCGCACGCAGGCGGUCUGUCAAGUCGGAUGUGAAAUCCCCGGGCUCAACCUGGGAACUGCAUUCGAAACUGGCAGGCUUGAGUCUUGUAGAGGGGGGUAGAAUUCCAGGUGUAGCGGUGAAAUGCGUAGAGAUCUGGAGGAAUACCGGUGGCGAAGGCGGCCCCCUGGACAAAGACUGACGCUCAGGUGCGAAAGCGUGGGGAGCAAACAGGAUUAGAUACCCUGGUAGUCCACGCCGUAAACGAUGUCUACUUGGAGGUUGUGCCCUUGAGGCGUGGCUUCCGGAGCUAACGCGUUAAGUAGACCGCCUGGGGAGUACGGCCGCAAGGUUAAAACUCAAAUGAAUUGACGGGGGCCCGCACAAGCGGUGGAGCAUGUGGUUUAAUUCGAUGCAACGCGAAGAACCUUACCUGGUCUUGACAUCCACAGAACUUUCCAGAGAUGGAUUGGUGCCUUCGGGAACUGUGAGACAGGUGCUGCAUGGCUGUCGUCAGCUCGUGUUGUGAAAUGUUGGGUUAAGUCCCGCAACGAGCGCAACCCUUAUCCUUUGUUGCCAGCGAUUAGGUCGGGAACUCAAAGGAGACUGCCAGUGAUAAACUGGAGGAAGGUGGGGAUGACGUCAAGUCAUCAUGGCCCUUACGACCAGGGCUACACACGUGCUACAAUGGCGCAUACAAAGAGAAGCGACCUCGCGAGAGCAAGCGGACCUCAUAAAGUGCGUCGUAGUCCGGAUUGGAGUCUGCAACUCGACUCCAUGAAGUCGGAAUCGCUAGUAAUCGUGGAUCAGAAUGCCACGGUGAAUACGUUCCCGGGCCUUGUACACACCGCCCGUCACACCAUGGGAGUGGGUUGCAAAAGAAGUAGGUAGCUUAACCUUCGGGAGGGCGCUUACCACUUUGUGAUUCAUGACUGGGGUGAAGUCGUAACAAGGUAACCGUAGGGGAACCUGCGGUUGGAUCACCUCCUUACCUUAAAGAAGC